AACGAACGCUGGCGGCAUGCCUAACACAUGCAAGUCGAACGAGACCUUCGGGUCUAGUGGCGCACGGGUGCGUAACGCGUGGGAACCUGCCCUUAGGUUCGGAAUAACUCCCCGAAAGGGGUGCUAAUACCGGAUAAUGUCUUCGGACCAAAGAUCUAUCGCCUUUGGAUGGGCCCGCGUUGGAUUAGCUAGUUGGUAGGGUAAAAGCCUACCAAGGCGACGAUCCAUAGCUGGUCUGAGAGGAUGAUCAGCCACACUGGGACUGAGACACGGCCCAGACUCCUACGGGAGGCAGCAGUGGGGAAUAUUGGACAAGGGGCGAAAGCCUGAUCCAGCAAUGCCGCGUGAGUGAUGAAGGCCUUAGGGUUGUAAAGCUCUUUUACCCGGGAUGAUAAUGACAGUACCGGGAGAAUAAGCACCGGCUAACUCCGUG
rnacentral:rRNA from 1 species